rnacentral:lncRNA from 10 species
CAAAGAUCUGUUUUAAAGGACAGACAGGAUUUCAAAAGUUAAAGAUUGAGUGAAGGCAAUUACAUGAAGACAAAAUGAUUGGGUAUGUUCCUCAAAGAAAAGAAAGUAGCCUAGCUAGCUGCAACUUGAAAAUAAAAGGGACUGUUUAUGUUAGAUUGAUACCUAUACUGUUUUAUUGUUAGUUUAAAAAGGAACACAGGCCAGGCAUGGUGGCUCACACCUGUAAUCCUAGCACUUUGAGAGGUGAUGGCAGGAGGAUUGCUUGAGCCCAGGAGUUCAAAACUAGCCUGGGCAACAUAGUGAGACCCUGUAUCUACAAAAAAUUUAAAAAUUAGCCUGUUGUGAUGGCAUGUAUCUGUAGUUCCAGUUACUCAGAAGACUGAGGUGGGAGGAUUGCUUGAGUCUGGGAGGUCAAAGCUGCAGUAAGUCAAGAUUGCAACGCUGCACUCCAGCCUGGGUGACAGAGUGAGACCCUGUCUCGAAAAAGAAACAUACAUAAGGAAUAUAUUGUCUCAGAUAUCUAAAGAAUCCAGGAGUACACCUGGUGUUGGCCACUGGGUGAUGUGGUGUGGAAACAAUCUUUCUCCAUCUCUUAGGUCUACUGUUUUCUGUGUCUCCUCCAUUUUAAGAUAGACUUUUGUAAGUAAAAGUUUACUGUUUCCAGUGGAAGGAAGUUGCCUCUUUCCAAACAGUACCAAUAAAAGUUCCAAGGCUGACUCAUGGGUCCAACUAUAGCUGUGUGUCCCAAACUGAACUGAUUUCUGUGACUCUGAUAACCCAGCAUGAGUCAUAUACCUACUUCUAGAACUGGUGGGAAGCCCUGUCCCACCUAAACCUCAUAGAAUGAGAUGGGAGGAGGAAUGAUUCCCCCCAAAAUACCAGGUUGUUACUAGAAGGGGAACAGAUGUUAGGUGAGCAAAAACAAAAGCUGUCUCCUGUAGAUGCACAUUGUAAAGAACUUUGAAUGUCCAUUUUAGAGAUUUGAACCCAAUGUGAGCUAUGAUGGAAAACCAUUAAUCAUUUUGAUCAAAGAUAAGAAAUAGAAAUGUUAGCCCAAAUAGAUUCAACAACUUAAAUAUAUUUGGUUAUAGUAGUCAAAAGCACUUCUAUCAUUUUGGAUUUUGCCCAGUUUAAGCCUCUUUUUCUAUAGUUGACUCCUUGUUUGGUAAGAAAAAUCAUGUUACUGUACAGUGUGUGCUUUGAACAAGUUACUGAUAGAGAAAGGAUCAAGUCCACUCAUUGAGAUGAUUUGGAGGGUAGGUAUGUUUGACAGGGGAUAAUGAAAUAGAAUCUGAGCAAUUUUAAGAGUGUCUUACUAAAAGCUUCCAUUAAAGUUAGAAGGUAUAGAUAAGAAUGAUUAAGGAUAACUGUUCAAUUAUGGUAUAGCCACUUGCUAUAUUAAAAGGAUACCAAAAACAAAAUGCUUUGUUAGAAACGGAGAUGGUAAGUUUUUGGGACGUUAACUGCUCCAGAUACGUAGUGUUGUGUGUCUUAUGAUGCUUUGACUUUUUUCAUCUUAGUUUUAGUCCUAACUUAGAAUGAUUAUUUUUUCUUGCCACUGAAUCAACUUCUUUUCUUAUUUGGGAGAUUACAAGAUUUGAAAAAUACUUCUGUCAUAACAAUUUAUAUUUUGCAAAAUAACUUUGAUGGUGAUUUAAGUUGUUUACCCAAUUUUAUUCAUUCUAAAUAUCUGUUUAUAUAAAAGUAUUUUGAAAUAAAUGUUUAGGAAGAAAAAGAUGAAUUUAUACAUUAUGAAUACUGUAAAUAGAAGAUUCAGUCAUUUUUAUAUAUGAAAUGGGCCUAUACAAAAAUGAAAUGGAGUUGGUCUAGCUCCAAAAAUGUAAUGAAAAUGACAGCUGGGCCCAGAUGACGCUACCAUGAUGUAAACCAGUAAGUAGACAUGGUUCCCUAGUGCUUUCUUUGUCAUGGAAGUCAUCCAGAGUACCAAGAGCAUACUCCAUACCCUGCGUGGUGGAGAAAAUCUGCUUGGUCAGAGGAGCUCCAAAUUGUAGAUGGUUUAAAAAUAUUUUAGCCUGGAUGAGCCCCAUCAGCAGCACUCACACACCUACCCUGUUACCACAUAAAUUCUUGCUGUGCCGUAGUUCCACACUUAAGCAUUCUGUUCCUUCCCUCAUUGACCUGUUUAAACUUUCAGUACACUAGAUAUGGCCAUGUCAAGCUGUAAUUCAUUCUUUGUUCUGAAAACAACCUUUGGCAACUCACAAAAAUUCAAAAAUACCAGCCCAUUCACCUAAAGACAAUAUAGUUAUAUUCCACAUUACAAAUUUAAAAAAAAACUCAUAAAGCUUCAAAUGAUAUU